CCAAGGGUCAGCCAUGGCACCCAUGGCUGUUGCGCUUUCUCCCAGCAAUCUGGCAGAGCUCUGUUUAGAAUGAAAAAGAUCCUACGAGUUGCAGAGCUAAACAAGUAGCUGUGCUUCUUAAUUCUCCCUUGUCAAUCUGCACUCACAUUUUAUAAUAUGCAGGGCAUAAAACCUCUCCCUGUAAAUCAUAUGCUAUGCUGCCACCACCAUGGAGUGGUGAGGCCUCAGAUUUACCAUCCGGGUUGCCACCAAUUCCUCACAGCUGCAGAGAAGGGUCUCUUGCAUCUGGCCUGGCUUAUGAGUUUGACAAUGACUAAGUCUAUGUCCAGUAACAGGCUGGAGUUCAUCCCAUAGAUCAUUUCUCGCCUUAUGCCACUUGUAAUGCAUUGACUUCAUUUCAUGGCCUAAGCAAAUUAAUUUGUUGUUUGCCAUCAGGCUAGGCAGAGUUUUUUCCACCCCCCACCCUUCCUAGUUCCCCAGGCAUUAUCAUAUGGUCAUUAAGAAUAUGGGAUUUAAAGUCAGGUCAACCCAGGUUCAAAUUUCAGCUCUGUCACUUACUAAUGGGUGACAUGUAAAUAACUUAAUUCCCCCAGCCCUGGUUUCCCUGUAUUUUAAAUAUGGAUAGGAACAUAUACCUAACAAAGAGCUUAAGGGAUUAAAUGGGAUCCUAAAUUUAACAAAUUUCUGGAGAGAAUUUUUUUUUUCUUUUUUUUUUUUUAAGAUGGAAUCUCACACUAUCACCCAGGAUGGAGCGCAGUGGUGUGAUCAUAG
rnacentral:lncRNA from 1 species